UAGGGAAUCUUCGGCAAUGGGGGCAACCCUGACCGAGCAACGCCGCGUGAGUGAAGAAGGUUUUCGGAUCGUAAAGCUCUGUUGUAAGAGAAGAACGUGUGUGAGAGUGGAAAGUUCACACAGUGACGGUAACUUACCAGAAAUGGACGGCUAACUACGUGCCAGCAGCCGCGGUAAUACGUAGGUCCCGAGCGUUGUCCGGAGUUAUUGGGCGUAAAGCGAGCGCAGGCGGUUUAAUAAGUCUGAAGUUAAAGGCAGUGGCUUAACCAUUGUUCGCUUUGGAAGCUGUUAAACUUGAGUGCAGAAGUGGAGAGUGGAAUUCCAUGUGUAGCGGUGCAAUGCGUAGAUAUAUGGAGGAGCACCGGUGGCGAAAGCGGCUCUCUGGUCUGUAACUGACGCUGCGGCGCGGAAGCGUGGGGAGCAAACAGG
rnacentral:rRNA from 1 species